rnacentral:rRNA from 1 species
CAGCAGCCGCGGUAAUACGUAGGGUGCAAGCGUUAAUCGGAAUUACUGGGCGUAAAGCGUGCGCAGGCGGUGUUGUAAGACUGAUGUGAAAUCCCCGGGCUCAACCUGGGAACUGCAUUGGUGACUGCAAUGCUGGAGUGCGGCAGAGGGGGAUGGAAUUCCGCGUGUAGCAGUGAAAUGCGUAGAUAUGCGGAGGAACACCGAUGGCGAAGGCAGCCUCCUGGGCCAAUACUGACGCUCAUGCACGAAAGCGUGGGGAGCAAACAGGAUUAGAUACCCCCGUAGUCCCUGUCUCUUAUAC